rnacentral:lncRNA from 1 species
AAAACUAUAAUGCUUAUAAAUUAGCAGUUUUUAAAAUUCAAACUAUCAAUCUGAUUGAUAAUUUGAAUAUGAUCCAAGCCAUUGAUAAGAUCAUGCUUCUUUUGUGUAUGACCUCUCAGUUUCUAUUCUAUCCGGUAGUAAGACAUACCGUGAUCUCUAUCACAGUAUCAUCGAAAUUUUUUUGAUGGGCUAAAAUGAUUCCAACUUACCUCAACAAAGAUCGUUAUAAAGAUUGGUUAUAAAGAUUGCCCAUCAAGUAAAAAUUCUUUUCGAUGGGCUAAAAUGAUUCCAACAUGAUUGGUUAUAAAGAUUGCCCAUCAAGUAAAAAAUAUGCUCUAGAGAAAAAUAUGUGUCAGUCA